rnacentral:lncRNA from 1 species
ACCGGUUUUUCCUUUCCAUGUUUAGUGCUUCCCUCAGGAGCUCAUGUAAGGCAGGUGACAUGGUGACAAAAUCUCUCAGCAUUUGCUUGUCUGUAAAGGAUUUUAUUUCUCCUUCCCUUAUGAAGCUUAGUUUGGCUGGAUAUGAAAUUCUGGGUUGAAAAUUCUUUUUGUUAAGAAUGUUGAAUAUUGGCCCCCACUCUCUUCUGGCUUGUAGGGUUUCUGCAGAGAGAUCCGCUGUUAGUCUUACGGCUUCCCUUUGUGGGUAACCCGACCUUUCUCUCUGGCUGCCAUUACCAUUUUUUUCCUUCAUUUCAAUUUUGGUGAAUCUGACAAUUAUGUGUCUUGAGGUUGCUCUUCUUGAGGAGUAUCUUUGUGGUGUUCUCUGUAUUUCCUGAAUUCGAAUGUUGGCCUGUCUUGCUAGAUGGGGGAAGUUCUCCUGGAUAAUAUCCUGAAGAAUGGAACCCUCAAAAUUUUGAAUUUCAAUG